rnacentral:rRNA from 1 species
AUACGGAGGGUGCAAGCGUUAAUCGGAAUUACUGGGCGUAAAGCGUACGUAGGCGGUUUGGUAAGUCAGAUGUGAAAGCCCUGAGCUCAACUUGGGAACUGCAUUUGAAACUGCCUGAAUAGAGUGUGAUAGAGGAUAGUGGAAUUUCCGGUGUAGCGGUGAAAUGCGUAGAGAUCGGAAGGAACACCAGUGGCGAAGGCGGCUAUCUGGAUCAACACUGACGCUGAGGUACGAAAGCGUGGGGAGCAAACAGGAUUAGAAACCCCGGUAGUCC